rnacentral:rRNA from 1 species
ACCUAAAUUACUUUUAUAUUUUUUAGUUUUAUAAAAGUAUGAACAAUGAUAUGUAAUUCAGGUGUAAGUAAUCAAAGUGAUUGUUAAGGAUGCCUAGCAAACAUUUAUUUAAGGAGGUGUAUUUCACCUAAAGCUUUUAAAUAGAAUUUAAAUUUAUAAUGGCGUUCCUUUGGGAAACUAUCUUUUAAGACGCAGUGAACUGAAACAUCUAAGUAACUGUAGGAAAGGAAAUCAACCGAGACUCCAUAAGUAGUGGUGAGCGAAAGUGGACUAGCCGUAUGUAAUAACUAUUAUAGAAAUAUUUGGAAAAAUAUCCCAUAGAAGGUAAUAGUCCUGUAUAAAUAGUGUUAUUAACAACAAGUAAAGUGGAAGAAAAUCUGCUUGAAAAUUGGGGAACCAUCCUCAAAGGCUAAGUAUAAAUGUUUAGCGAUAGCGAAAAGUAACGUGAGUGAAAGGUGAAAAGGAUAGUCGAUGACAGAAAGUGAAAAAGUUCUUAAUUAGCAAUCAUAUAAGCAAUUAAAGCAUUUAUAAGUUAAAAAUGUAAUAAUGUACCUUUUGUAUAAUGGGUUAGCGAGUUGAUGGCAGUAGCAAGGUUAACAACCCUGGCGAAAGCAACUCACAAAUUAUUGUGCGGUAAUAGUUACUGUCUUCAGACCCGAAACGCGGUGAUCUAUCCAUGACCAGAUUAAUAAUAAGAUCGAAUGGUUCAAUGUUGCAGUAUUGUCCAAUGAGUUGUGGAUUGUCGGUGAAAGGCCAAUCUGACUGCGAUAUAGCUGGUUCUCCUCGAAACAUAUUUAGGUAUGACUUUCUAAUUUAGAUUUAUGCGGGUACAGCACUGAUUGCCAUACCAAGCUUUAAUUUAAAGUAAGGUUUAAUUGGGGGGUUGUAAAAACUUUAUCAUUGGUUAAUUAAUCUCGGAAACAACAUAAAUUGAUUUAGAAAUUUCAGACUAUUCAUGAUAAGGUGGAUAGUCGAGACGGAAACAGCCGUGAACAUAGAAAAAGGUCCCAAAGUAAUGAUUAAGUGAAAAUAAGGAAGUUGUGGUUCGAAAACAACUAUAAAGUUAGCUUGGAAGUUGCUAUCUUUUAAUGAAAGUGUAACAACUUAGUAGUCUAAUGAAACAUAGCGCCGAAGAUUAACGGGUCUAGAUCAUUCACCGAAACUAUGUCUUUAUGUUCUUUGUAUUAUAAAUUAUAGAACAUAUUUGGGUAGAGGAGCUUUCAGUAUGUAAGAAGAAUAGUGUUUCAUUAUUUGGACAUUGCUGAAGGGAUUAUGCUAACAUGAGUAACGUAGAAAGAAGUUAUAAUACUUCUCGCCGAACACGAAAGGGUUUCAAAGUAAUGUUAAACAGCUUUGAUUAAGAACGGUCUCUAAUGUGGUAUAUAGAAAUAAGCUAUAUGCAACAGAUGAGUUAGGGGUAGAAAGUCUUUGACCAAGAAAAUAAUACCUCUCGACCUCUGACCUCUAGAAGGAAAGUAAAGAUCUGACCUAAAUUUGCACAGAUCGUCUGGUCUGUAAUUGUUUAGGUUGAGGAUAUAAUAACCGUACCCUAAACUGACACAAGUUCGUAGGUAGAGAAUACCAAGGCGUAGAGAUAAUACUGUAUAAGGAACUCGGCAAAAUGCACUCGUACGUUUAACAAUAAGAGUGACCGUAGGGUGGCACAGAAUCGUGAAGCACAACUGUUUACCAAAAACACAGGUAUCUGCUAUGUUUUAAAUAACAUUGUAUAGGUGCUGAAUCUUGUCCGAUGUCUAAAGUAUAAUAUUCGUAAAGAAAGGAGUAGAUGUAUAAUCGAGCUGUAAACAAUAAAAAUAUCCGGUUGUUCUUAUUGUAGUGAUAUUUUAAGAAGGAAGGGCAUGGAGUAAGUUUAUAGCAACUUAGUAGAUAUGGAUAAAAAACUAGAUCAAUGACAGACUUAACUAUAAGGUUUUUAACAGUAGCGAAAUUCCUUGGCCGUUAAAUGCGGUCCUGCAUGAAUAGAGUAAUGAUGCUUCAGCUGUCUCAUACAGUAUCUCAGUGAAAUUGAAUUAGCCGUGAAGAUGCGGUUUAAGUGUGGGUAGACGGGAAGACCCUAUGCAGCUUUACUAUAAUUAAUUAUUGUUCGAAUUUAAAAAAAUACUAGUGUAGAGGGUAGUCGUAAGACACAAUUGGAACACCCUUAUUAAUUUUAUGUGAGAACUUUCACCCUGAAAGGGGGAUGAAUGAUUAACUGGUAGUUUAACUGGGACGGUUUCCUCCAAUAAAGUAUCGGAGGACUUCAAAGGUAUAUUUAUAUUAGAUGGAAACUAAUUUGUUAUGUAGAACGAAUAAAAAUGUAAAGGUGAAAUAUGCUUAACUGUGAGACUGAUAAGUCAAACAGAUACGUAAGUAGGACUUAGUGAUCCGGUGAUCCUUUAUGGAAAGGUCAUCGCUCAAGAAAUAAAAGUUACGCUAGGGAUAACAGGGUAAUAGCUCUCGAGAGUUCAUAUUGUCAGAGCUGUUUGCCACCUCGAUGUCGACUCACCUUAUCCUCUUGGUGCAUAAGCUAAGAAGGGUUCUGCUGUUCGCAGAUUAAAAAGGUACGCGAGUUGGGUUCAAUACGAUGUGAGUCAGUAUGGUUCCUAUCUUCCACACUAACGAAUAGUCAUAUUUAAAUGGGUCCUUAGUACGAAAGGACCAGGAUCUGCGUUUCUAUGGUGUACCAAUUGUUGAUAUGAACUAUCAGCACCGUUGGGUAGCUACAAACGUUAAAGAUAAAAGCUGAAAGCAUAUAAGCUCUUGAAGCUAACUAAAGACGACUAUACUUGUACAAUUAGUACAUGGUAAGAGAUAGACUAUCUCUUUGAUAGGUCACAUGUAUAAGUACGGAGACGUAUUGUAGCUUAGUGAUUCUAAUUUUCCAAUUUACUUACAC